rnacentral:rRNA from 1 species
AGGACGAACGCUGGCGGCGUGCUUAACACAUGCAAGUCGAGCGGAAAGGCCCUUCGGGGUACUCGAGCGGCGAACGGGUGAGUAACACGUGAGCAACCUGCCCUUAGCUCCGGGAUAGCUCCGGGAAACCGGAAUUAAUACCGGAUAUGACCUAGGCCGACAUCGGCUGUGGUGGAAAGUUUUUCGGCUGGGGAUGGACUCGCGGCCUAUCAGCUUGUUGGUGGGGUAAUGGCCUACCAAGGCGACGACGGGUAGCCGGCCUGAGAGGGCGACCGGCCACACUGGGACUGAGACACGGCCCAGACUCCUACGGGAGGCAGCAGUGGGGAAUCUUGCGCAAUGGGCGAAAGCCUGACGCAGCGACGCCGCGUGGGGGAUGAAGGCCUUCGGGUUGUAAACCCCUUUCAGCAGGGACGAAGCGAAAGUGACGGUACCUGCAGAAGAAGCGCCGGCUAACUACGCGCCAGCAGCCGC